UACAUGCAGAUAAUUUAUAAAAUAGAUCUAUUUACAAAGGAUGGUAAUUUUUACUAAUCUGCCAUAUUUGGUUGUUAAAUAUGUUGGAAGAGACACCUAAUUAUUUUAUUAUUUCUGUAUUUACUAAGAGGGAAACAAUUUUGGUGGUGCUCACAUGCUUGUAAAAUUGCAACCAAAACUGUUCAGAAAAACAGAAGUGAAAACAACUGAAAUUUAUUCUGUUUUCCUUCCCAAAAGUUGCAUCAGAGACAAGAAGGCAAGGAGAGGUGGUUCUUGUGAGGAAAUACUUUGUAAAGUUAUUUCCACAGCAUCUUUUCCACUUUUUGUGCAUGAUUUGUGACCUUUUAAAAAUACGGAGGGUUUAAAAAAAAAUGCACACUUACUUUUUUAAUUUUUUGCCACUGAUUUUGGUCAAAGUGUUCUUUAAUGAUUAAAAACAUGUAAGUAUCUUUUAACCUACUGAUGUAUUCUUCUCAGACAACAUAACAAGGUGUCUUGCUUUCUAGAUGUCUGAGACUGUAGUGUGACAAACAGGAGGGAGAAAUGGAAGGACCGAGGUUAGCUUAUGCUGGGGUUCUUUCAAGAAGGUUCCAGUGUUGGCAUGGUCAUAUACGCAGUCUACACCCUUUCAGUUGUAAACCAACGGCUCUGCAGUCAGGCUGUUGUGAGUGUUCACAUCGCUACCUGUCAGCACUUCUGAAACCUUUCAGCACUUUGUUUCUCAGUUUCCUCUUGAUCAAAGCAUGACCUGCUCACUAAGGCUUUUAUAAGAUAAUAAUUUAAUAACAAACUCUGAGCCUGAAGACAAAGGAAAAGACUGUGUAGGAGGCCACUGCUAAUUUCCCUCCCAACAUAAUCAAAUCAGUACAGCUAUCCAGCCAGGACUCAUAACCCUUAAUAAGUCACUCUACUCGAUUAAGAGAAAUUGAUUUUCCUCUACCGUGGAUCAUAGUGAUUAUGAUAAAUAUGGUAUCUGCUCUUCGCUGAGCACCCCUCCCCCCAACAACCCCCCACUCCACCCCAUUGCUGCUGUGGCUAUUUGUUUGCAAGGCGGCAGGUAUAGGAGCUAGAUGACGCGGUGUCAUUAACUGUAGUUGGUAUCAGUGCUUUGACAGCUGUGGGAUUGAGUGGUUCAUAGAUCAGCCUUGAAGCCGGUCCUAAGGGCCGUGUGCAGCAAUUACACACUCUUGACAAUACUUCUGGCAACCUUCAACAUGAAAAACUCCUGGGUCAUGAUUUUUAAUCGUUGGCAAUGAUGGAGUUUAAACUUUAGUUUUAUGAUAUGUGAAAAGUUAUAUGAGAGCCAAACAGCAACAUGGUGCUUUGUCCGGGUUCUGAGUUGAUCUUCUAUUUGAAAUCUACCAUGGUCUGUCUUAGUUCUAGCUCUGCAAUCAACUCUAGAUUUCCAGACAAAGUGGGAUCUUAAGAUAAUACUGCUGGUUGCGGAAACAUUGGGCUUAGCCACCCUUCUAAAUUUUCUCAUAACUCACACGAAGGAUCUUGAAGAGACUGACUUUAUUUUAAAUGAUUCUCUCUUUACCUCAUGUAAUAACUCAUGGUACUCCAUGUUAACAUAAGUGGGGGAAUAAAGAAAAGGCAAAUAUUGAGAAUAGACUUAUAAUAAAUGCCGAGAGUUCUCAUUUGGAUUUUCUGUGUAGCAUGUGCAAUGUUGGUUUCCAAACUUAAAAAUGCACUCAUUAUUCUUAACUUGAUGUCUGAAAGGAAUUUUCUGUAGCACGAUAUACAGAGAUAGUAGCAGUAAUAAAGAUGUACUUCUCACCCUUUUACCUCUUUUUAAAAUAUUCUGGCCUUGGGAGUUCGUGUACAUGAUUAGUUUCUGGCAGAUACUUUGCAUUUCCAGGUUGUACAUUAUAGGGUGAUGAAUUCCAAAAGUGAAAUGUUAUUUUUUUUUUAAGAUUUUAUUUAUUUAUUUGACAGACAGAGAUCACAAGUAGGCAGAGAGUCAGGCAGACAGAGAGAGAGGAGGAGGAAGCAGGCUCUCUCCUCUGCAGAGCAGAGAGCCCGAUGCGGGACUCGAUCCCAGGACCCUGAGAUCAUGACCUGAGCUGCAGGCAGAGGCUUUAACCCACUGAGCCACCCAGGCGCCCAUGAAAUGUUAUUCUUAACUAUGGCAGAAGUAAAUGAAUUAUAAGAGACCUUCAGAGUAAACCUCAGAGUCCCCUUCAUAAAAAAAUAGAUUUUUUUAAAUUAAAAUUUUAUCUUGGUUUGAGUCAGAUAGAAUUUCUUAAAUUUCUUUAAGAAUUUCAUAAAAUGCUAAUGUACUAUUUUCCAUUAAGAGGCGCUGAAUUAUUGUUUCUUAAUCGUUGUUCCUCUGGAGAAUAAUAUAUUCUAGUUGUAUUAAGGAAAACUACUCUGUUUAAUUCGUACCUCCAUAUCUUUUAUCUUUUUAUGUAACUAAGAAAAGGCAAGAAGAUGUGUUUUUUUUUCCUAGUCUUAAAAAUGCCUAGGUGAUGUAAGAUUUAGUAAAAUCUUGAUGAUUUUACUAAAGAGUCUAUUUUUUUUUUAAGAUUUUACUUAUUUAUUUGGCAGAGAGAGACACAGUGAGAGAGGGAGCACAAGCAGGGGGAGUGGGAGAGGGAGAAGCAGGCUUCCCACCAAGCAGAGAGCUCAAUGUGGGGCUUGAGGACCCAGGACCCUGGGAUCAUGACCUGAGCAGAAGGCAGACACUUAAUGACUGAGCCACUCAGGAGCCCCAGGAGUCUACUGUUCUUUAAAGUAACUAUUUUUAUGUUACUUCCGAGCAUUUCCCAAGGAAGGAAAGCCAUCACAAGGGGAUUUAAUGAUAGGAUAUAUAUAGUAUAUUAAAUUUAAUUUUUCCUUAAUUUGCGUUUAACUUUUUGUGACUUGAGAAGGCACAAACUAAAUGAUGAUCAAAGUUGUUAAAACUCUAGCUCUACUCCACCAAUUUUGAGGGCAGUUCUUGCCCCAUUGUCUAGGGAAUUCUAAUUGCACAGUCCAGCGAGCACAAACAAGUCUGUGCUUAAGAGUAACACUCUAAAUGGCUGCCUGUUCUAAAUGUUGAUUGUCCGGUAAGGAGAUGUGGAGGGGGAGAUGUACUUUGUUCAGUCUUAUAUGCCUAAGGUGAAAAUUCAAUGAAUGAAAUGCAGACCAGGGUAUUCAGAAUUCUUUCUCUCUUAGGCUAUCCCCAUAACCACAGUGACCUUGACAGAGAAGGUCUUUGUGCAGAGCCUCCAAGUAAAAAAAAACAAUUAAAUUUAACACAAGGUUUUAGCAUUCACAAUAUUCUAGACACUAUGGAAGACUUGAACACAUAAUUGGCUCUCACAUACAUUUGAAUCUGACAGACUAUCAUCAACUUUCUUUUUUAUCUCUUCCGAAAUUUCCCUUGCAGUGUACCGUUUCUGAAUUAUUAUAAUGAUAGAUUAUUUGAAGAUAUAGUCCAUUUCUUCAGAUCAAUACCAUAAGCACUUCUAGUUUCUCUACUAGCUUUCAUUUACUCUUCAAUUUGUGCCCCGAAACUCACAAAAUCUGUUGAACAACCACAGUCUCUUUUCAUUUUCAUUCUAUUUUGUGAAAAUACAGUUAAUUGCUCAUACUAUCAAGGAGAGUCCAAUGCAUCUUAGUGUCUCCUGCAUAUGCUGAAUUCACCAAACUACUUAAAUAUUGUUUAGGGAACCUGUUCUCAAUAAUAAUUUUGGUACCCUGACACUUUCACGAUAAUGACAGAAUCAUGAAUGGAGAAGAUCUUUUUAAAUACAAAUAUACAAACAGUUACAGAAUCUUUUGUGUAUCUAGUUCAGAAUACUCUGAAACAUAUUUUCUUGUUAGAGAUACAGCUUGGACUGUGAUCAGCAGAAGGGAGAGACCAGUCGCUAUAGGAAGAAACCAAUAAAAGGACUGAAAUGAUGAUUAAAAGUCCCUAAAAGGGGGUGCCUGGGUGGCUCAGUGGGUUAAAGCCUCUGCCUUCGGCUCAGGUCAUGAUCCCAGGGUCCUGGGAUCAAGCCCUGCAUCGGGCUCUCUGGUCCAUGGGGGAGCCUGCUUCCUCCUCUCUCUCUCUCUCUCUGCCUGCCUCCCUGCCUACUUGUGAUCUCUGUCAAAUAAAUAAAUAAAAUCUAAAAAAAAAAAAAA